GCUCCACUUGCUCUUAUCAAGCCUCCCAAGGUCCUUGGCCCUGUUGCUGCCCACUGCAGUCUGCCAGUAGGCCCAGGUAUUCCAAGGGAGCGUGAUCGUCUGUGGCGGAGACGCAGUGGUGGUGCGUUCUGAUCAAGUUGAAAGGAAUCAAGAAACAAGCAUAACCCAGAAUUAAUUUAAGGGAACCAACUCCCUGCCUUCAGUCCAGUACAUCCCUCGCCUUCUGUCUGACACGAUACAAGUUUUACUUUGUCCUGGCUCCUGCUGCCUACGCCUUGCAAUGGAUGUGACAUUGGGAGGUGUGUUGUACGAAGGAAUUUUCUGCUCCCAUUCCGAAAUACAGGAAGCUACUGAGAUGCUGCUGCAAGAGUUAGAGCGCCUAUGUAGUUGUGGUUGGCUCAUGAGUUGCUGGCCGUUGGAAAUCUGAGCAAUAUAGUUAUCAGAAAGCUAAAAAAAUUGAAAAGAAAUUAAUGAGCAAGACUGAAAAACUGAGAGAAAGAAUUCAUUACUUUUCUAUAAUUUAACACAAAGAUAUUGUAAUUAUUUGUACUAAAUUACAUUUUUAUACUAAAUUUGUGUUUAUACUAGAUUAAAACAAUUAAAUUGAAGUCUGAGAAAUAUAAGUAAUAUAAAACAAAAAGUUGAUUCUCAUAAAAACAGUCACCUAAUCUAACCCUAAAUUACUACACAACUACAAAUAACGUACAGGUACUGGCGAUGGAGAAACAGAUCUUGGAGUAGCUUUUUCUCGAUCCCGCUCCCGAGAGGGUCUCUCUGGCUUUUCAGAUUUGGGUUCAGUAACAAUAGCCUUCAGUUGUUUCAGUUUUUCAUCUUUCACCCAGAGUUUAUUUUGCAUCUCCAAUUGUUUAGCUGCCACUCGCCGCUCCUAUGGAUUAUCAAUAGCAAUAGACGUUCUAAUUCAAUUACACUAUACAAGUACACCACAUUACUAAACACUGUCAUAAAAACUAUAGUUCUCCAAUUCUUCCUGAGUAACUAUACUCCAUAAUGUUAACGAAUUUCAAGGGCAGAGAAAGGAAUGAACUGAAUAGGCAACUAUUGCCGCCACCACCAAAACCCUAACCCAGGAAGUCAUUCAAAACACUACAAUUUGAAAUAAAUCACCCAUCUCUGCGAUAGGCAGAGGGAUGACACUCACGCAUUCUUUCUCCCACUUCAUUGUUGUUUCCGUCACCAUGCCUUGCAAUCUGGCUUCUAGUCUGCGUUUGUCAGAAAACUGUUGUUGAAGUUUUUGAUUCUGGGCUUCAAGUUCCUGUUGCAGAUUGCGCUUAUCUUCUUCAUAGAUAGUAGUUGUUUUCUCUAAAAUUUCAAUCUGGAAGGCAGACCAUUAUGUUCAAUAAUUAGCAUGUAAAUAUUUCAUGUAGCUUUAAAACAAUCUUUUAUAAUUAGUUUAUGGCAAGCAGAAUUGUGGAAAGAAAAAAUCAUAGAUAAAGCAUUUUCCUCUAAAAUUU